AAAAUCUUUCAAACAAAACUGGGUUCUGAGUGUGUUGUGGAGCAGAAGAUCUUGUUGGAUAUUUACGUCUCACCUUUCUCCUAUCAGAUGGAGCUCACCAUGGUGUAUUGGUGCAAGAGAUCUUUCACCAGGUUUGGCAUGUCCCAGUGUGUGUAAUAAGUAGGGGUGGAACAGUUCUCAGGAAAAAUCUAAACUAAUUGGUUCACCUCCCUCGGGUCGUAAUUUCUAUGGUUGGCCGUGAGGUCUCUACUUCUUUUGAGGCAGCUAAGGAGGUCCCCACAGUAACCCAAUCAAACUGCUCUCAACACUUCUUUGGAAAGAUGACACCUUACUGUAAUAAAUCAAGUUAGCAAUAGUCAAAGGAAUGAUUUUUGUCUGUCUAUAUCAGAUGGGGGAUGCAGAAAGGCACAAACAAGUUUCCUUCAACAUCCACAUCAUGGUGCUUGCGUCAAUCUGUAGUCCAAGAUGAGUAACGGAAAGCAAGUUCCUAUCACAUCAACUGCUUGCUGUCCUGCAAUGCGGUUCCAGAAAAGAACUGCAGCCACUGCACAUCUGCUGCUAUCAUUCGCUGAAGAGACUGCAUGCCAGAAGAGUAGCAGUGUAUGGAUUGUGACAUACAGAUACACCAAAAAAUCAUCCUCCAUAACAGGGAGACCUGCAUUAAUGAAAUUUACAAACCCAUUGAGCCAAAAGUGUGCUGUGUACAAAUGAUGGAAGUUUACUUUUAUUUCAGUUGCAAUCUUAAAUAGACACAUUUUUAAUGCUUUCUCACAAAUUAUUGAACUUCUUUUUUCAGUCCAUUUAUUGCCUACAGUGAGACCUGUACAUUUCUGCACUUGUAUGACCCUGCAAACAUCACAGAAUCAGCUGGCAGAGCAAUCAUUUUGGUCGGUAUACGUGCUGUGCAGAUAAUGCCUGGCACAUUGGACACCUGACAUGAGCGACCUAAAAAAAAGUUUUUGUUAAUAGAGUCCUUUUGAGUUCUACACUACCUGCACUUGGGUCCUGUUCCUCGUAAACCAUGACAGGCAGCCUUUAUGAUCACACUGCAACAAAACUUGCGUCGAAGUAAAUGUUGAAAGAGAAGAGAAAACCUUUGCAAACAAUCAAGCUCUACAAUGAGCAGAUUCCAGAUGAGGAUCACAUCGAUGGGAGGAGACUGUGGGACAGACAGCCUAAUAUGGCCGUGGGACGUACACCGCAGGGGCAAUUUAAGUGAAGAAGGUCAUUGCGGGCUACUGUGACUUCUUCAGAAAAGGCUUGCAGAUGUGGAGGAGAACUUCCAAGUUGUAUGCUCAAGUUACAGCCAGGCUUUAGGACCAAAUGCUGGAGGAUGAGCCGGAGGAGAUACUGGAGGACCAUGAGGAACUGGAUUAUGAGAUGACUGUGAUUUUGAAAAUGUGUAAAUGAGUGGCUCUGAACUGGUGGUAUGCAUUUAGAUUGUGUGUCACGCUGAACUGCAGGUGUGUUUCAUGGAAAACGGACUACUCCUACUCAACAGUGCCACACUCCUCUUGCAGUGGUUACUUCCCCAACUGUGCCCAUCUUGUCAACAUAAUGACCUUUACUGUAAAAAAAUAUGCAUAUCUAUUCUGCCUGUUACAUUAUAUUAUUGUUAUAUAGUUUUAUACUGUAUAAUGUUUCACAGUGAUUGAAAAUACUUUUGGAGUGAACCCUUUACUGUACAUCAAUACAUGAAAUACUUUCCACUAUGACUGAUCAAUACCCAUAGUUGUUGAGUUUUGAGUUAAUAUUGCUGUUACCUUUUAAUUGAUGCCAUUUUCUUGAGGAAACUAAACUUUUAAAUGUGUACCUGCAAAAUCGUUUGCUAAAGCAUUGUUUACUUUACCUGUUUUGAAAAUGAGAUGUAAAUAACUGUAUUUAUGCCUUAAAAUUGUAUGCCAGUUUUAUACAGGGUAUAUAAUAAAACGUGUUAAUUCUUGUAUCUAGAGCAAAGUUAUGCAAUAGGAUAAUGCAAAACUUGUAUUAAUUAAUUUGUAUUAAUACUAUUGCCAUGAAUAAUGCAACACAACUGUAUACCUACUUAAUUAACCAGACAACUCAGACUAUUUACUUUUUAAGUUAUGUACACUAUAAAUACAUAUGUACAGUA